UUUGGAAACUUUAUAUUUCCAUCCUUUCUUUCUUUGAUUUAUUCAUUCCUUCUUUUUUUUUAUUUUCUUCGUUGUUUUCUCUAUACCUGCUUCUCUUUUUCUCUGUUUGUCUGUGGUAAGUACACUCGUGAGGCAUACACCCUGUCCACUCACUCACACACUCACUCACUCACUCACACACUCACUCACUCACUCACUCACGCACUCACAUAUUUCGUUUUACGUGAAUACAUGUGUGCAGUGCGGGACGUCUGUUCCAAUAUGUUUGUUUAAUGUUGUAGUGUGCAUACUGUUGUCACUGUACUCUGUGUGUGUGUGUGUGCCCGCUUUUAUGCUUGUGGAUGUCAAACAGUUUGUGCAUGAAGCUGUGUGAAUGCUUGUCUCUAUUGUGAUACACAGAGACUUAAAGAAUAAAUACAGACUUUUUACCACUGUGUUACACAAGUCUUGCCUCUAUUCAAACCGUUUGUCAGAAUGGAGUUUCCCUAAGUUAUUCCUAGCGACGAUCAACUGUCCUCAUUGUGUCUUAAACAACAUUUGCGUCGGACUGAUGGCGGGAAGAUAGUGAGUAGACACUAAAAUGAACAUCUGUGUGUGAACGGAGAUUUGAAAACGAUGCACAAUGGGCACUUUUAUGGUGAGAAAACUGGAUAAUGAUGCUUCAAAAGUAAAAAUAUCCUUUAAUUUUAAAUCUUAGCAAAUCUCAUUGUUCUCGGCUGCUGUCCGGUAUUUUCUUGUUUAUUAACGACUUCUGUGUGACUAAGUCUUUGCAAUGGGCUUGUCGGCCAACCGUAGUCUGUCACCUGAUUUUAUUUUAUUGGCAGAGCUCUACCCUCGUCUGACUGACCCGCCGAUAUUCGAUGGACCAGUAAUAGAACAGAACGCCUUCUACUUCACCUGUGACCUGACCUUCGGCGGCAGUAACCCCAAUCAAGCCUUUGAGUUCGUCUCCAAACAUGCAGCAAAAAUGUAUUUGGCUUGUAGAGCAGAAAAUAGAAAAAUGACCUCAUCCACAGUGCCGAAAAACCAAACACGUGCUUAAUCAACAGCCUGUGUUUUCAAGAUGGAGAACUCAAUCCGAAGGAUAACUCGCAGGUCUGCAAUGUCUCCCUUAGCACGACAGAGUGAUCUCCCGUUCCGACAGUGCAAUUGGAAUAUCCCUUCAUUACAUCAGUGAACGUGAGCAGGUCAGAGGACAACACCCAGUUAAGAUGUGAGGUCAACGCUGAUGCCUCAAAGCCCACAGCCAGCUUCCGGAUGGCCUGGGGUGUCGAUGGCGACUGGCUUCGAGAGUUGGUCAUACCUAGUGGACAUCUGGAGGCUGCCAUCAGCAUGUCGGACGUUAGUCAUCACGUUUUGUCAUCAGGUGGCUUGUCGUGUGCGCUCAAUUUUCACUGACCGUGGUGUUUUCAGUCCCUAUAUGGUCAGCAAUAUUAUCUCAAUGGCAGAUCCCUGAUAGCAGGAGAAAAACUGUCGCAGUAUGACGAUGGAAAGUGUCUUCUGUAGUCAAUGUUAACAAUAAAAAAGGUUGUAAAAAAUGUUCUUUGUACGGUUCUUAGCUCCUGAGAAUAUCCAACAUGUUAUCUAAG
rnacentral:lncRNA from 1 species